rnacentral:rRNA from 1 species
UACGUAGGGGGCUAGCGUUGUCCGGAAUCAUUGGGCGUAAAGCGCGCGUAGGCGGCCCUGUUAGUCCGCUGUAAAAGUCAAAGGCUCAACCUUUGAAUGCCGGUGGAUACUGCAGGGCUAGAGUCCGGAAGAGGCGAGUGGAAUUCCUGGUGUAGCGGUGGAAUGCGCAGAUAUCAGGAGGAACACCGGUGGCGAAGGCGGGUCUCUGGGCCGAUACUGACGCUGAGGAGCGAAAGCAUGGGUAGCGAACAGG